UACGUAGGGGGCAAGCGUUGUCCGGAUUUAUUGGGCGUAAAGAGCGUGUAGGCGGCCAGGUAGGUCUGCUGUGAAAACUCGAGGCUUAACCUCGAGCUGUCGGCGGAAACCAUCUGGCUAGAGUCCGGAAGAGGAGAAUGGAAUUCCCGGUGGUAGCGGUGAAAUGCGCAGAUAUCGAGGAGGAACACCGGGUGGCGAAGGCGGAUCUCUGGGCCUUACCUGACGCUGAGGCGCGAAAGCUAGGGAGCGAACGG
rnacentral:rRNA from 1 species